AUUGCGUAAAAGCCUGGAUAACCUUCCACUAAAUAACUCAAUGAAUAAGGUAUGCGGGCAGUGACACAGAUAAGCCAGGUUUAGACCUAUUCACAUGUUGAUGUUCACUACAAAUGCAAUUUCUUGCAUGAAUAGAAUAAAAGGGAGUGCGGGAGAAGUGACCGUUAUGGUAUUGCGUAAAAGCCUGGAUAACCUUCCAC